rnacentral:rRNA from 2 species
CAGUGAUAAACUGGAGGAAGGUGGGGAUGACGUCAAGUCAUCAUGGCCCUUACGACCAGGGCUACACACGUGCUACAAUGGCGCAUACAAAGAGAAGCGACCUCGCGAGAGCAAGCGGACCUCAUAAAGUGCGUCGUAGUCCGGAUUGGAGUCUGCAACUCGACUCCAUGAAGUCGGAAUCGCUAGUAAUCGUGGAUCAGAAUGCCACGGUGAAUACGUUCCCGGGCCUUGUACACACCGCCCGUCACACCAUGGGAGUGGGUUGCAAAAGAAGUAGGUAGCUUAACCUUCGGGAGGGCGCUUACCACUUUGUGAUUCAUGACUGGGGUGAAGUCGUAACAAGG